rnacentral:rRNA from 1 species
AGUGAACGCUGGCGGUAGGCCUAACACAUGCAAGUCGAACGGCAGCACAGUAAGAGCUUGCUCUUACGGGUGGCGAGUGGCGGACGGGUGAGGAAUACAUCGGAAUCUACUUUUUCGUGGGGGAUAACGUAGGGAAACUUACGCUAAUACCGCAUACGACCUACGGGUGAAAGCAGGGGAUCUUCGGACCUUGCGCGAUUGAAUGAGCCGAUGUCGGAUUAGCUAGUUGGCGGGGUAAAGGCCCACCAAGGCGACGAUCCGUAGCUGGUCUGAGAGGAUGAUCAGCCACACUGGAACUGAGACACGGUCCAGACUCCUACGGUAGGGCGCAGUGGGGAAUAUUGGACAAUGGGCGCAAGCCUGAUCCAGCCAUACCGCGUGGGUGAAGAAGGCCUUCGGGUUGUAAAGCCCUUUUGUUGGGAAAGAAAAGCAGCAGGUUAAUACCCCGCUGUUCUGACGGUACCCAAAGAAUAAGCACCGGCUAACUUCGUG